GAUGAAGAACGUAGCGAAAUGCGAUAUGUAAUGUGAAUUGCAGAAUUCAGUGAAUCAUCGAAUCUUUGAACGCACAUUGCGCCCCUUGGUAUUCCGAGGGGCAUGCCUGUUCGAGCGUCAUUAUAACCCCUCAAGCUCAGCUUGGUGUUGGGGCCUGCUGCACUGGCAGCCCUUAAAAUCAGUGGCGGCGCCAUCUGGCUCUAAGCGUAGUAAUUCUUCUCGCUAUGGAGUCCUGGUGGAUGCUUGCCAUCAACCCCCAAUUUUUCUAUGGUUGACCUCGGAUCAGGUAGGGAUAACCGCUGAACUUAAGCAUAUCAAUAAGCGGAGGA
rnacentral:misc_RNA from 1 species